rnacentral:tRNA from 1 species
UAGCUCAGUUGGUAGAGCAGUUGACUUUUAAUCAAUUGGUCGCAGGUUCGAAUUAAAGGUGGUUACUGGUAGAGAACGUGAAGGAUAACGUUGCGUUAGCAACGGCCCGAAGGGCGAGACGAAGUCCAGUCAUCCUGCACGACCCACCA